rnacentral:tRNA from 1 species
GCCGCGGUGGCGGAAUGGUAGACGCAAUGGAUUCAAAACCCAUCGACCUAACGGUUGUGAGAGUUCAAGUCUCUCCCGCGGCACUA